AGGGUUUGAUCAUGGCUCAGGAUGAACGCUGGCGGCGUGCUUAACACAUGCAAGUCGAACGAACCUUCGGGUUAGUGGCGGACGGGUGAGUAACGCGUGAGAAUCUGCCCUCAGGAGGGGGAUAACGGUUGGAAACGACCGCUAAUACCCCAUAUGCCGAUAGGUGAAAUGAAUUUCGCCUGAGGAUGAGCUCGCGUCUGAUUAGCUAGUUGGUGAGGUAAUGGCUCACCAAGGCUUCGAUCAGUAGCUGGUCUGAGAGGAUGAUAAGCCACACUGGGACUGAGACACGGCCCAGACUCCUACGGGAGGCAGCAGUGGGGAAUUUUCCGCAAUGGGCGAAAGCCUGACGGAGCAACGCCGCGUGAGGGACGAAGGCCUCUGGGCUGUAAACCUCUUUUCUCAAGGAAGAAGAUAUGACGGUACUUGAGGAAUAAGCCACGGCUAAUUCCGUGCCAGCAGCCGCGGUAAUACGGGAGUGGCAAGCGUUAUCCGGAAUUAUUGGGCGUAAAGCGUCCGCAGGCGGCUUAUCAAGUCUGCUGUUAAAGCGUGGAGCUUAACUCCAUCAUGGCAGUGGAAACUGAUAGGCUUGAGUAUGGUAGGGGCAGAGGGAAUUCCCGGUGUAGCGGUGAAAUGCGUAGAUAUCGGGAAGAACACCAGUGGCGAAGGCGCUCUGCUGGGCCAUUACUGACGCUCAUGGACGAAAGCCAGGGGAGCGAAAGGGAUUAGAUACCCCUGUAGUCCUGGCCGUAAACGAUGAACACUAGGUGUCGGGGGAAUCGACCCCUUCGGUGUCGUAGCUAACGCGUUAAGUGUUCCGCCUGGGGAGUACGCACGCAAGUGUGAAACUCAAAGGAAUUGACGGGGGCCCGCACAAGCGGUGGAGUAUGUGGUUUAAUUCGACGCAACGCGAAGAACCUUACCAGGGUUUGACAUCCUGCGAACCUCUUAGAAAUUUGAGGGUGCCUUCGGGAAUGCAGUGACAGGUGGUGCAUGGCUGUCGUCAGCUCGUGUCGUGAGAUGUUGGGUUAAGUCCCGCAACGAGCGCAACCCACGUUUUUAGUUGCCAGCAUUUAGUUGGGCACUCUAGAAAGACCGCCGGUGAUAAACCGGAGGAAGGUGUGGAUGACGUCAAGUCAUCAUGCCCCUUACACCCUGGGCUACACACGUACUACAAUGCUACGGACAAAGGGCAGCAAACUCGCGAGAGCUAGCAAAUCCCAUAAACCGUGGCUCAGUUCAGAUCGUAGGCUGCAACUCGCCUACGUGAAGUAGGAAUCGCUAGUAAUCGCAGGUCAGCAUACUGCGGUGAAUACGUUCCCGGGCCUUGUACACACCGCCCGUCACACCAUGGAAGUUGGCCAUGCCCGAAGUCGUUACUCCAACCCUUGUGGAGGAGGACGCCGAAGGUGGGGCUAAUGACUGGGGUGAAGUCAUAACAAGGUAACCGUA
rnacentral:rRNA from 1 species